UGGGGAAUAUUGGACAAUGGGGGGAACCCUGAUCCAGCCAUGCCGCGUGUGUGAAGAAGGCCUUAUGGUUGUAAAGCACUUUAAGCGAGGAGGAGGGUACUGGUAUUAAUACUACCAGCUACUGGACGUUACUCGCAGAAUAAGCACCGGCUAACUCUGUGCCAGCAGCCGCGGUAAUACAGAGGGUGCAAGCGUUAAUCGGAAUUACUGGGCGUAAAGCGCGCGUAGGUGGUUCGUUAAGUUGAAUGUGAAAGCCCCGGGCUCAACCUGGGAAAUGCAUCCAAAACCGGCGAGCUAGAGUAGGGCAGAGGGUGGUGGAAUUUCCUGUGUAGCGGUGAAAUGCGUAGAUAUAGGAAGGAACACCAGUGGCGAAGGCGACCACCUGGGCUCAUACUGACACUGAGGUGCGAAAGCGUGGGGAGCAAACAGG
rnacentral:rRNA from 1 species